AACGAACGCUGGCGGCGUGCCUAACACAUGCAAGUCGAACGCAAAAGUUCCUUCGGGAGCAAGUAGCGUGGCGCACGGGUGAGUAACACGUGAACAAUCUGCCCAUCAGUUGGGGAUAACCUAUCGAAAGGUAGGAUAAUACCGAAUACGUUCCUAAGAUCGUCGGAUCUAUGGAGGAAAGAGGGCUCCGGCUCUCGCUGACGGAUGAGUUCGCGUCCCAUUAGCUAGUUGGUAGGGUAAUGGCCUACCAAGGCGAUGAUGGGUAGCUGGUCUGAGAGGAUGAUCAGCCACACUGGGACUGAGACACGGCCCAGACUCCUACGGGAGGCAGCAGUGGGGAAUCUUGCACAAUGGACGAAAGUCUGAUGCAGCAACGCCGCGUGAGUGACGAAGGCUUUCGAGUUGUAAAGCUCUGUCGGGAGGGAAGAACAAGUCGGUGGUUAAUACCCAUCGGCCCUGACGGUACCUCCUAAGGAAGCACCGGCUAAAUUCGUGCCAG
rnacentral:rRNA from 1 species